UACGUAGGGUCCGAGCGUUGUCCGGAAUUAUUGGGCGUAAAGGGCUCGUAGGCGGUUUGUCGCGUCGGGAGUGAAAACACGGGGCUUAACCCCGUGCCUGCUUCCGAUACGGGCAGACUAGAGGUAUGCAGGGGAGAACGGAAUUCCUGGUGUAGCGGUGAAAUGCGCAGAUAUCAGGAAGAACACCAAUGGCGAAAGCAGCUCUCUGGGACGGUACUGACGCUGAGACGCGAAAGCGUGGGGAGCGAACAGG
rnacentral:rRNA from 1 species